ACUUCCCGGGGGGGCUGCAAGGCUGAAUUCAUUAAUUCUUGUAAAGUGCUUUGCAGUUCCACAGCCCCUCAGGAUCUCAAAGUAUUGUCACUGUUCUUUCAUCGUAUCAAUAUUGUUGGAAAUGAGGGCGUUGCUUGGAAGAGGAAAAGCAGGGAGGAGCAUAUCCAGGCAAUGUUUAGAACUAAUACUUUAACAUUAUUGGCUACUACGGUCGUUAGGUAUUUAGCUAGUUAGAACUUGGAGUGAAAGAUCGCUGCAGGGGCAGACAUUAGAGGGUGCCGUAUAUGAAAGGGAACUAACUGUCCAUUCUAAGAUAUUCAUCUGUCUGUUGUAGUGUCCCGUGUGUCAAGUACACAGCCUUCCUGGAGUAGCUGUUGGCCUGAUGAUUGCACAUGUGAGAGCAAAUAUGACAUAAGUAGGAGAGAGAGAUUCCUGUCUUAAUAGCUCUUCAAGCAUCCUGGACGACCAGCUGCUGCCAAGUAUUCCAAGUAGAGGGGGGGUUGGACUGAGUCUUGGGACCCUGUUCCUGCUUCCUCUGAAGUCAAUGGCUCAGUUCCCAUUGUGCUCAGCAUGGCAGGCUCGAACACUCAAUGUCCAUAUGGUGGGCAUUUUCCAACCAACAUAGCAGCCGUGUCCUGCCUACCAUGGGUCAGAAGUUCUUGAAUGAGUCAGUGUUAGGCAGGCAGACAGGUUACUGCGCACCUGGGCUGGGUCCCUUGUGUUUCCUGGGAUCCUGGGAUGCCAGAGGAGGAUGGUGGAACCAGUUUUUCUGCUCUGGCAGUGGAACUGGGGAGGAGACAGUACAAAAUGACAAGACAGGAACUGCAGAGCUACUGCUACCAACUAGAAACGUGGGAGGCCGCUUGCCUUUUCCCCUGCCAGGUGUUCUGAAUCGACCUGCGAGAGCCAGGUAGCUGCUGCAGAAUGUCUUCCAUCUUAAAGAUGUUCGGAAGAGAAGACAAGAAGGAUCAGGGCAAAGAGAAGGAGAAAGACAAGAAGGAAG